rnacentral:rRNA from 1 species
UACAGAGGUCUCAAGCGUUGUUCGGAUUCAUUGGGCGUAAAGGGUGCGUAGGUGGCGCUGUAAGUCAGGUGUGAAAUUUCGGAGCUUAACUCCGAAACUGCAUUUGAUACUGCGAUGCUUGAGGACUGGAGAGGAGAUUGGAAUUCACGGUGUAGCAGUGAAAUGCGUAGAUAUUAGGAAGAACACCAGUGGCGAAGGCGGCUCACUGGUCCGGUACUGACGCUGAGGUGCGAAAGCGUGGGGAGCAAACAGG